AAGAGGCAAGGUAUUACUAUGUUGCCCAGGAUGGUCUUGAACUCUUGGACUCAAGUGAUCUGCCUGCCUCGGCCUCCCAAAGUGCUAAAGUGCUAGGAUUACAGGCGUGAGCCACCGUGUCUGGCUGUCAUUUUUUUCUUUUUGUGGAGACACAGUCUCAGUAUGUUGCCUAAGCUGGUCUUGAACUCCUGGCCUCAAACAAUCCUCUCGCUCCAGCAUCCAAAGUGCUGGGAUUACUGGUGUGAGCCACUGCACCAGGCUUGUUCCUGUGUUUUUGGGUGUAAGCAGUAUCUUAAC
rnacentral:lncRNA from 1 species